GCUUACGGCCAUACCACCCUGAGAACGCCCGAUCUCGUCUGAUCUCGGAAGCUAAGCAGGGUCGGGCCUGGUUAGUACUUGGAUGGGAGACCGCCUGGGAAUACCAGGUGCUGUAAACU
ensembl:rRNA 5S_rRNA 5S ribosomal RNA